GGCACUGGCACCCCAGCUCCUGUGAGCCGUCCUCUGGGGGCCAGAGUGCUCAGCAGAGAGCAGGGAUAACUGCCCCGGCUGGUUCUGCUGAGCUGCCAAGCGGGUCCAGCUGCCCCUCCAUGGCUACAUGCAGCUGUGGGGUUCGCUUUCUCCCCAAUUCCAAGGUGGACCAGAGUCCAGCCUGCUCUGGUGCCAGUGCCUGGUGCCCAUCACCAGGGGAGUGAGGACCAACGGGUUUCCCUGGCCAGAUACCUGCGGUGCGGUGCAGGCCCUCUGCCCUGCCAGGAGGGAGGUGGGCACCUGGGACUCCAGGCCCUAGGGCUCCAGAUGGAAACACUAAGGUGCCCAGGGAUUAGCAAUCUGCACAGCUUGAAAGUGGCUGAGUGGGGACCGAGCCCAGGCUUUGAGCUGAAGUCAUUUUGCUACAGACCCAGGGUAAUGACCUCUUUGAAGAAAGUGUGUGGAGGUUUCAGUCCAUCUCAGCUGGCUCCAAGGCAGGGUGGCCUGGCACAGGGGCAACGGUUCAAGGUGGCAGAGGACAGCAAAAGCGGCAAGAGCAAAAUGGCUGAGAUGUUUGCAAAGUGAGGACCUUGGGCCCCUGCUGAGUCUUAAAUUUCUAAAUCUCUCAAGCUGGCACAGUGUAAUGCUCCUGCCCUGCUGACUGGCAAGGAGUGGGGAGAGAAUGGGAUCAGGACCCAACCUCUGAAAUCUCCACCUGGGGAGUGCCCUGGCCUGGCGGAGGCUGGCAUGGCUGGCUCUGUCCCCAAGGCUGCCUCUCAUGGCCCGCGGCUCACUCACUCGGGGCCAGGCUGCUCUGGGAUGAGGUGCUCAGCCCAUUAGGCUCUCAUCCUGCCUGCCUGGCUUUGUCCCGCUGGACUGUGGAGCUGUGGCUGGGGACUGUCCAGGAGCUGCAUCUCUGAGGACACAGACCUGGAAACCCAAUACUCCUGGGCAAGGGCGGCACCCAGGUCCACUGGGCUCUACUGCUACUGAGGUUCUUGGGACAGCGAAUCACAGAAGGGUCAGUGUGCUGCAUAGACACAAGUACAAGGCCACCAGACUUGUAGCAACUGGUCCUCUAGGGACACAGGACCAGGAGCCCCCUUCUCAGGGAGACACUCUUGGGUGGGCCAGCUCUACCAUGUUCCUAGUCCUCAGCAGAGUACCUCACUCAUUCAUUCAUCAGCUCUUCAGAAGGAACUAAAGGCUCUUACAUGUAAACAUCUGGCUGAAAAAUGUUCCAGACAAGGGGGUAACAACAUGUGCAAAGGUCCUGUUGUAGUGGGGGUAACCAGGAAGUCCGUGCAGGGAGCCAGAAGAAGAGUAGCCAGGGUUGAGAUUAUAUAGAAGGUUAUAGACUACACACAGAAAUAUAGGCAUAUUCUGAGAGAUGAGGUGGGCUUUAUAUGAUUUUGAUUUGAUAUUUUUAAAGAAUUCCUCUGGUUGCUGGGCAUGCUGAGGUACACCUAUAAUCCCAGCACCCAGGAGGCUGAGGCAGGAGGAUCACUGUGAGUUUGAGGCCAGCCUGGGCUACAUAUGUGAGUUCAAGGACAGCCUGAAUUACAGAGGGAGAAAAAACCAACAAACCAACAAACAAACAAUAAAAGGAAUUCCUUUGGCCGACAAAGGAUGGACUGUCCAGGGAGGCCAGGGAGGAGGCAACUGCCACUGUCCAGCAUGAGAUGAUGGAUUCUUGAGUCACCAUAUGCACAGCAGAAGAGAGAGAGGCAACUGUGUUGUGGCCUUUAUGUAGCAGCUGAGGGAUAGAUGUGGGGGAACAGGGUGAGGAGAAGCCUCAGGGCAGGUGCCGAGACCUGUGCUCCUCCCUGGGGUGCCCAUGCUCCUCCCUGGGGUGCAGUGUCUUUUGCUAUGGGACUGACAGGCUAGGCUGGGAGCCCUGGGGCACCAGUGACGUCCUGCACCCUGUGAGGCGACACAUUCUUGGUGCCUGGGGCCUCUAACCAUCUGGAGAAAGGUCUUGAAACCCUAACCUGUGAUUUAAAACCCAAACACACAUCCUUCCUGCUGCACCCCAGCUCUGCAUUUGCCUGGGGCCGAGUGAGCUUUCUCUUAAAGACCCACCUGGAUUUUAUUCUGGGGCAAGGAUGGGCGUCCCCCACCAUUAAAGGAUAAAUGGAUGUAGAGGGCCCCGGGCCCAGGAGCAGCUUGACGGGCUGCCACCUGUCCAGACGAGCCUGGCAGAGAGCCCCACGUCUGCUAAAGAGAGUCAGGAGGGAGAUCAGUUGCAGGAAGGAAAUUACUGAGUCUUCAAACCCUGUCAACUGGGAGAAAAAGGGACGGACUUUUAUGGACACGUAGUUUGUCCCCAGGAGACAGAACAUCUUCAAACCUGUCUUCACCAGCAUCGAGGUACUGUGGUGUUGUCUAACAGAGCAGUUUAUAGCUGAGUGAUGAAUCUCUUAAAAACAACAAUAAAAACGAAACUGAUUUUCACCUACCUCGCUCCACUUUCUAAAAUAACUGCAAAGCAAACAAACAAACAACCCAACCACAUUCAUGAUAACAAGGAAAUUUGCAAAGCACCUCUCAGCACAGAGUCCUGGAUUCGGGGACAGAGCAGCAAGUAUGACCCUGUGGCUGCUGGGGACCUGCACGGGGCACCGGGCUGUAGCAGAUCAGCGAGGAGAAAGCCCCGGACACAGAGAGUGCGGUUGCUGGUGCUGUGGGUUGAGGUCGGCUGGUGGGAGAGAUUGUGUGUGGGGGUUUGCUGCUUUAGGCUGCUGGGACCUGGACACUCGUGAAUCCGGGUCUAGGUGAAGCAGCGUGUGAGGGUCAGCAGCUCAUCACCAGCCCUCCUGCUCUGCCGUCAGCUGUUAGGGUUUUAUUUCCUCUUGGUCACAACGUGGCUGCCGCCAGUGACAGAAACCACACAUCUCUUGGCCUUAAGAGACAAAAUUCUUCUUUCUGUGAUUUCUCUUUAACACAACGGGCCAUCAUUGGCCAUUCGGCCACUCCUGGACCACUGAGAGCCCCAGGGGCUGUGGAGUGCUAAUAUUGUUGGCUCCCCAGGGUGACCCAGAGCUGAGGACCAUGUUGCUGUCCCCUGGCCAAGGGGCAGUGUGGGCACAGGGAGAAGCCAGAAUCAAGUUAGGGUGCUGUUGUGCAGCUGUUGGGGAGGGAUGGAGCAGGCAGCCUCCCCCGCAGGGAUUAUCCAUCCCUCUCUUGUCCUCUGAGAACAGCGGGGCUUGUGGGCCCCCAGCUUGGGGCCUCCACUCCUCCCUCCAGGGGCAGGGAGCAUCUCAUGUGCUGCAAGAUGGUGGUUUUGUCCCUAACUUCUGCUCCAGAUUGACUUGGUCUUACCAUCAGAGAAAUGGGGCAAAUGGCCAACCAGGAAUGGGUGCGUUCCCAGGACGGGGAGGGCCGCUUUGAUAAAAAUCAAAUCAGAUUGUGUGGGGGCAGCUGAUCUCGAAGCUUAAUGAGCCAGUGGGAAAAUGCAGUUCAGCUGCAGCCAGACUGGUGGAAAGACCCGGGAAAGAACCACUGCGUCUAGACCAGCACAGGAGCCGCUGAAGGCUCAAAAAGCGGAGGGGUUGCCUGAAAAACUGAGUUUUAAAUUUUGUUUAAUUUCAAUUAAUGUAAGUGACUAUUUCAGGUAUGUGAUUUUUUUUAGAUAUAUGAUUUAGUUAUUAGAAAACAAAUUUGCUUACAGUCAGCUAUUGAUGUGAAUCUAGUUUUUCGACUGUCAAUUUUCUGAAAUCCAAGUACAGACCGAAUAUCUCUGAUACACGUGGGGUUGCAGGUAUAAAACUUCAAAUCAAAAUUUGAAUACAGCAUGAAAAAAUGCGAACAAUAUUAACUUUUCUAUUUAUUGUAUGUUGAAGCAACAGUUCAGGUAUGUUUUGGGUUAAG